UACGUAGGGUGCAAGCGUUGUCCGGAAUUACUGGGCGUAAAGAGCUCGUAGGUGGUUUGUCGCGUUGUUCGUGAAAACCGGGGGCUUAACCCUCGGCGUGCGGGCGAUACGGGCAGACUUGAGUACUGCAGGGGAGACUGGAAUUCCUGGUGUAGCGGUGGAAUGCGCAGAUAUCAGGAGGAACACCGGUGGCGAAGGCGGGUCUCUGGGCCGAUACUGACGCUGAGGAGCGAAAGCGUGGGGAGCGAACAGG
rnacentral:rRNA from 1 species